AUUGAACGCUGGCGGCAGGCCUAACACAUGCAAGUCGAACGGUAACAGGAAGCAGCUUGCUGCUUUGCUGACGAGUGGCGGACGGGUGAGUAAUGUCUGGGAAACUGCCUGAUGGAGGGGGAUAACUACUGGAAACGGUAGCUAAUACCGCAUAACGUCGCAAGACCAAAGAGGGGGACCUUCGGGCCUCUUGCCAUCGGAUGUGCCCAGAUGGGAUUAGCUAGUAGGUGGGGUAACGGCUCACCUAGGCGACGAUCCCUUGCUGGUCUGAGAGGAUGACCAGCCACACUGGAACUGAGACACGGUCCAGACUCCUACGGGAGGCAGCAGUGGGGAAUAUUGCACAAUGGGCGCAAGCCUGAUGCAGCCAUGCCGCGUGUAUGAAGAAGGCCUUCGGGUUGUAAAGUACUUUCAGCGGGGAGGAAGGGAGUAAAGUUAAGACCUUUGCUCAUUGACGUUACCCGCAGAAGAAGCACCGGCUAACUCCGU
rnacentral:rRNA from 1 species